rnacentral:rRNA from 1 species
ACGAACGCUGGCGGCGUGCUUAACACCUGCAAGUCGAACGGAAAGGCCCUGCUUUUGUGGGGUGCUCGAGUGGCGAACGGGUUAGUAACACGUGAGUAACCUGCCCUUGACUUUGGGAUAACUUCAGGAAACUGGGGCUAAUACCGGAUAGGAGCUCCUGCUGCAUGGUGGGGGUUGGAAAGUUUCGGCGGUUGGGGAUGGACUCGCGGCUUAUCAGCUUGUUGGUGGGGUAGUGGCUUACCAAGGCUUUGACGGGUAGCCGGCCUGAGAGGGUGACCGGCCACAUUGGGACUGAGAUACGGCCCAGACUCCUACGGGAGGCAGCAGUGGGGAAUAUUGCACAAUGGGCGGAAGCCUGAUGCAGCAACGCCGCGUGCGGGAUGACGGCCUUCGGGUUGUAAACCGCUUUCGCCUGUGACGAAGCGUGAGUGACGGUAAUGGGUAAAGAAGCACCGGCUAACUACGUG